UGGGUUGGAGUUUGGGAAACAUCUAAAUAUGGCUGGAUUGGGACUCCUGAGGACCGGACUUGGGAACCCCUGGUGUAAAUUGUCCCAGUACUCCAAACUGCUCUGUCAUCCCGCCCACUUUGAGCCCUUAUUCCACACUUCUGCUGAACCUACAUUGAUGCUAACUCAAGCCAAAGCAUAUUACCCACAAAUCCCUGCUGAUUUGACUAAAAAAUAACGGGAAAAUUGCGACAUUUGGUGGAAUUCCUUUGCCUGUGCUGAAAGAGUCUUUUCAAGUGAGACAAUGGGCAGAUUCAACACAUGCUAUACCUGCAGCGCCCGCCCUCAUCCUCCUCACCUCAUGUCGACGACGACUCCCCAUUGGCUGGCUGGCUGCAGGAGUGGGAGGAGACUAAUCUCACGCCACUGCAUCAUCAACGUGGCCCGGGAGUGUCUACAAAGAUGAAACGGUUGAAGGUGGGGAUGUCAGCUUCCUAACAAUGGUACCAAUUGUUCUUAUGAGAAACUCACAAUAAAUGUCUGCUUGAGAACCAAUCAAGCUCUCUCAACUGAACUGGGGAGUAAAUAUGCUGUUUAUUAACAAUUUAUCAACAGUUUAUUAGCAUAUGGUCAUAAUAUACCGUAUCAGCGGCAGGUGGUGAACGUUAUUUCUACAAUGGUUCCCAAGAGAUGCUUUUAAUGGAAUGAUUCUCAUAAUGUGGCUGCUUGCGGCAUACAGUUCAGUUGUAUUUAACUUUUUUAAUACAAUAAAUACAACCAUAUGUUGUCUUUUAGAAUAUAUAUUUUUUAAUCUUUAUGUGCAACAUUUUAUACUUUCAUCGUUAUUCAAUUGCCUUUUUUUUUCUUAUAGUUAGGCGAAGCCUUUAUAUUCAUGCUUCAUUUUGUUACAGUGGCUUACAAAAAUAACAAAUAUACCUUUUAGGGAUAAAAGCUCCAAUUGUGAAGCAAUGGUGCAGAAAGAGGUGUUAUGGGCUAGUAUCGGUUUCACAAUGAUGCACCAGACUAACUUUGCUUGUCUCACCUUGGCUGCUUUCAACAAUGCAUUCUUUGACUAAAUCGACUUCAACUAAUCUCUUCCGCUUCACACCUACUCUGUUUGUCCUUGGACAACAUUCCUGUUCUCUUUUAAUUUUUUUUUUUAUUGUUCUUGUGUUUUGAUUUUGACAGAUCAUUUAAGAGCAGCUUCUUGGCAGCAGCCACACCAAACAAAUAAAAUAAAACACCUAACUGGUUUAAUUUUUAAAAAAAAGAUAAUAUAGCUUUUGCUUGAAAAGGCAAAAGUAGAGUUUUAAGAUUCGUAAAAGGCACCACAUUCCCAAUUUAAAAUCAAGUCAAAUGAAAUAAAAUUCCGAAUUGUUGGUUCAUUUAUGAAAAGCAAAAGAUGAAUCAUGUUUUGCAUUUUUGCUAACAAAUAUUCUGUCCCGGCCAAUUCUGUAAAAUAAAGGUGAAAAUGAAAAAACAA